GCGGCGGACGGGUGAGUAACACGUGGGUAACCUGCCCAUAAGACUGGGAUAACUCCGGGAAACCGGGGCUAAUACCGGAUAACAUUUUGAACUGCAUGGUUCGAAAUUGAAAGGCGGCUUCGGCUGUCACUUAUGGAUGGACCCGCGUCGCAUUAGCUAGUUGGUGAGGUAACGGCUCACCAAGGCAACGAUGCGUAGCCGACCUGAGAGGGUGAUCGGCCACACUGGGACUGAGACACGGCCCAGACUCCUACGGGAGGCAGCAGUAGGGAAUCUUCCGCAAUGGACGAAAGUCUGACGGAGCAACGCCGCGUGAGUGAUGAAGGCUUUCGGGUCGUAAAACUCUGUUGUUAGGGAAGAACAAGUGCUAGUUGAAUAAGCUGGCACCUUGACGGUACCUAACCAGAAAGCCACGGCUAACUACGUGCCAGCAGCCGCGGUAAUACGUAGGUGGCAAGCGUUAUCCGGAAUUAUUGGGCGUAAAGCGCGCGCAGGUGGUUUCUUAAGUCUGAUGUGAAAGCCCACGGCUCAACCGUGGAGGGUCAUUGGAAACUGGAGACUUGAGUGCAGAAGAGGAAAGUGA
rnacentral:rRNA from 1 species